CAUUUCAGUUCACCACUGAAUCCAAAAGACAAUGGUUUCAAUGACAAAGGAGUAUCUAAACCAAAUGAAGAAUUCAUCUCUUUCUUUUUUUAGUGUGAAACUCAUUCAUGAAGAGACCACUGCUUGCGCCUGCAGCAACAAUGGGUGCAGAAGGCUGUACAGAUAGAAUGGAGGAGAUGAUACCAGUUCAUCUUUUUGUCUAGAUGAGCUGAGUAUGUAUCCUGAGUGUGACCUUUGAGACCACCAGAGGAAAUUUUCCAAGUGAUGCUAUUUGGUUGUGCCACUGGAUUGACCUGUAUUCAUUUUCCACUCCCUUCAAGAUCUGAGUUGGGGCUGCCACUGAAAGCCGUGGAAUAUGGAGGACCUUAUUUGUAUAUGAUCUUAAGAGAAAGAAGUCACCCCUGUAGAUUCAUACCAGCCAGACUCCUUCUUGACUUUCAUCUUUGCUAUGUUCCUCUGGCUGCAUCACUGGCGUUUCCGCAAAGGCAGCAGCAUCAACAUUCCGACAGUGAGCUAUUUCUUCUAGAGACAAAUUGAUUCUAAAGUUCACAUGGAAAAACAAACAUUGUAGAAGAAGCCAUGAAGUCAUUGAAAAUGGAGAGUUACAAGAGGAUGAUUAACUCUAUCAGAUACUGAAGAAUAUAAAGGGAUGAAAAUUUUUAAUUUCUUUCUGUAGUAUUUAUGUUGCAAUUCUAUUUUUCAAUAUGAUUUAGGCCAUAAAUAUUUUUAUGCCAUUCCUAGUCACAUAAUAAUCACCUAUAUAUCUGAUACCACUGCUGUUCUUUCAUUUUUAUUCAGAUAGCAUUGAUUUAUAACAUUAUACAGGUUUCAGAUGAGUGAUAUAAUGAACUAAAUUCACAGAGAGAUUAAAUAUAUGCUAGAGAAGGCAUUUAAAACCAUGGGGGAAGAAAUAAGGAAAUAAAUGGAGUUGGGAACAAAUGGUUAACCAUCUGAGAAAAAGAUAAAGCUGAAUAUCAUCUGACUCCUUAUACCAAAAUAAUUUCCAGAUGGCUGGAACAUCUAAAUUUGAAGUGAUAAAAGAGUUUUGGAAUGGGAAAGAGCUAUGGAAGCAAAACAAAAAAAGAUGCCUUUAAUAAAUAAUUUCAUGAAUUAACUAUACUGAAAAAUAAUAUGUUUUGUGGGGAAAAACUGAAACAAAAUUAAAAUACAAAGGGGAAGUAGAAAAUAAAUAUUUUGCAAUUUAUUUUGCAGGAAAAAUGUUUGUUUUGUGUAUAAAUAUCUAUUACAAAUAAAUGGUAAGACCAAUGUUCAACAGAAAAAAUUUCCCAGAAAGUAAAAUAUAAAUGGCUGCAAAAAAUUGAAAAGAAUCCCAGCAUCUCUCAUUAGAGAAAUCCAAAUUGAAACAAUAAAAUAGUAGUUUUCACCUAUCAUGCUGACAAAGUUCAAAAAAUUAACAUACAGCAUUAUCAUUAGGAUGCUGAGAAAUAAGCAUUUUCACAGUCUAAUAUAGGGAGUUUAAAUUAAUGCAAAUUCUUUGGAAAAGUUUUAGCAAUGAUUAUUAAACUGUAAAAUGCACAUAUCUUUUGACUCAGAAAUUUCUAUUCUGUGAGUUUAUCCUAUAGAUAUACUUGCAUAACAGGUACACAAAAAUAAAUACAUAAAUAUUCACUAAAACUGUGUUUAUUGUACAGAAACAUUUGGAAACACCUAAAUGUUCAUGAGAAUAAACUGGUGAACUAAACAAUGGUAUGUAUUUGCACUACAAUACCCUACUCCCCCACCCCAUCUUGAGUAAGGAAAGAAAACAAGGAAAGAAGGGAAAGAAGAAGGGAGGAAGGAAGAUGUUCUGAAAUGAAACCAUGCUCCCAUUAUGUCAUAAAUAUGCUGAUGCAUGCAAAGAACAUUUCUAGGACUCUAAUGAAUUAUUGGUAAAAAUCAUUACUCCUAAGGAUAUAAAUUAGAUAAUUCAGGGUUUGAGUUGAGAGGAAAAUUUAUUUCUCCUUUUUUCUAAAAAGAAAAACCAAAACCCUAUAUAACCCCUAACAUUGUUUGAAUUUUUAUUAUGUAUUG